rnacentral:lncRNA from 1 species
CAGCUACCUUUGAAUGCCAUUAACUUUGCAAUAUUCAAUGAAGGGAUUGUAGAGAAAUUCUCCUCCACGAUUAGUCCUCAACAUCUUUAUUAGAAAUCCACUUUGUCUUUCUGCACGUGCUUUAAACCGAAGAAAAGUAGAGAAUGCCUCAGAUUUUUGAUUGAGAAAGAAAAUCCACAUCAUCCGUUUGUAAUCAUCAACAAAGAGAAUGAAAUAUCUCUUGUUUCCGGUAGGAGUUUACAUUGGUCUACAAAUAUCUGAAUGAACAAGUUCCAAUGGCAUUUUUGCUCGCCAUAAAGUUUUAGGAAUCCAUAUACACAACCUUCACGCACUUUGUCUCAUUUGAAUUUUAGGAAGCUUGAUCACCAUAUUUUUCUCCUUAAGCAAUUGAAGUCCUUUGCCAUUUAAAUGACCAUAUCACAAAUGUCAUAGAUGUGACAAAUCUGCAUUUUCAACUGUAAGUGCACAAUUGUUGUCUAGUGGUUACAUGAGACAAAAGGUUUUGUUUUUCAUUUCAACAUUCGCCACUAUAACAUUUUUCUUUUUAUUAAAGAUCUUGCAUCUUUCAUCAUCAAAGUGCACCGAAAAAUUCUCUUGCAAGAGUUGUCCAAUAUUUAAGAGAUUAUAUGAAAGAUUUGGCACAUAAAGAAUAUCAGUAAUGAGUUUUCUGUUACUUCCCUUAGUCUGGACUGCAAUGAUGCCAUUUCUUUCUGCGCUUCUUUGUGUUCCAUCUCCAAGAAUAAUUUGUGAGGUGAUAUUUGGAUUGAUCUCUACAAAGAUAUCUUUAUUUCUAGUCAUGUGAUUUCUAGCACCGCUAUCCAAAUACCAUUGAUUCUUGGAUUCAAAGUCACCAUUUUGAUGAGAAUAAAAUAGAAUUUCAUUUUCACUCUCUUUUAAAAAAUUUGCUGCAUCUUCAUUUUUCUCCUUAUCUUGAAACCAACAAUCUUUUUGAAAAUGAUUAGGAAAUUUGCAUCUUUUGCAUUUAAAAUAGCAAUCUUUUGAUUCACGAUUGUUCUUUUUACAAAUAAUGCAAGAUUGAGUCUUACCGGAUUGUUGUGGUGUUUUGGCUUUCCAAUUGCUUAGCUUUUCAUUUUGACUCCACUUGCUAAACUUUUCCUUUUGGUUAUUUGAACUUUCAUGAUUGCUUGAACUUAUUUUUAAUGCUUGCUUUGAUUGAAAGGCUUGUUCAGUUGAUUGACUAGCCGAACGAUUGAUUCUUUGCUCAUGUGCAAGAAGUGAUCCGGUCAACUCAUACAUGGUCAUUUUAGACAAAUCCUUUGAUUCUUCAAUUGUGGUGGCUACAUGAUGGAAUUUUGAAGGGAGAGAUCGAAGCACUUUCUCAACAAUUCUUUUGUCUUUAAUUGUAUUUCCGCAACUUUUGAUUUGGUUUACAAUCUUCGAAACUUGUGAAGAGAAAUCGUGAACCGACUCUCGUUCUUCCAUUUUGAGAUUCUCAAAAUCUUUCCAUAAUGAUUGAAGUUUAAAGGAAAUAGUUUUCUCCGAGCCUUAAAAUUCUUGAUUUAAAAUUUUCCGUGCAUCUUUGACUUUUUAAGACCAAACAUAUGAGGAAAAUUUGAUUUUCCAACUCAAUGUUGAAUAUAUCGCAACACCAUUGCAUCUUUCUUUUUAUAUUCCUUUUGUAACUUUGGAUCUUCUUCAUCUCCUUCGGUUGAAUCUUUUACCACCUCAUCAUUUUCAAUGACAUCCCAUAAAUCUAAAGAGAUGAAGAAAGUUUGCAUUUGACUACUCCAAUAGUCAUAGUGCUCACCUUCAAAGAUUGGUACUUGACUUGGUGAAUAAGUGAACAAGAGGCUGCUGUAUUUGUCGCCAUAGCUGCCCUGUUUUUGUUAAAAAAACUGUUGUUGCUAUGGUGGUUUUUGAGGUUGAUUUUGUUUCAGCUUUUGGUAGGAAUUUGUUUAUGUAUUUAACCUGGCUCUAAUACCACAAUUUGUUAUUUGUUGGGUAUAUAAGAAGAUAAUUAUGAGAAAUAUGAUAUUUUACUCAUGAAAUUUGAGGGAUUACAAAGGAGUUGCUACAACACACUCUUUCUCUAAUUUUUUGAGAGAUUUUUCUUCUUCUACAUUCAUAACACUAAAUGGAUACCUUCCUAUUU